rnacentral:tRNA from 1 species
GUGGAUAUAGCUCAGGCGGUUAGAGCACCAGAUUGUGGCUCUGGGGGCCGUGGGUUCGAGUCCCAUUAUCCACCCCA